AUGUACAUGGAUUCAAAAAGUGGAUCUGAGAGUGAGGAGGCCACUGAUGAUGAUGUGUCCUAUGACGAUUAUUAUGAUGAUGAACAAGAUGAAUCAAUAGAGGUGUCAGAUGUAGAUGCAGAUGAUGAUCUUGUUAGUGAAACCAACGAGACUGGAGACUCUGCAGUCAAUGAUGAAUAUGAUGAUAAGGACCAUAUUCUUUAA